GCCGAGAUCGCUUAGCCCGGUAGAGCGCCAGCCUGGAAAGCUGGUUUCUUUCGAGAUGCGGGAGUUCAAAUCUCCCUCUCGGCGCCA
rnacentral:tRNA from 1 species